rnacentral:tRNA from 1 species
GGUUGUGGCUCAGUAGUAGAGCACUUGCCUAGAAUGUGCAAGGUCCUGGGUUCAAUCCUUAGCACCA